AGCAAAACAAAUUGUAAACACACACACACACACACACACACACACACACACACACACACACACACACACACACACACACACACACACACACACACACACACACACACACACACACACACACACACACACACACACACACACACACACACACACACACACACUGUAGGGAAAUUAUUAGUCACUUACACCACCAAACACGACAGUCCACACGAACACCACAAAGAUACACGGAAAGCAAUGGUGAUCGUUUUCGAAGUAGGUUCUAAAUUCCGGAGUGCUAAUUUUCGGAACGAGUUUCCCCCGAUAGGGCAUCCAAUUUGGCUGCGAUUGUGCGGGAAAAUUCGAACCAAAUCGACAGUUACAGGUUCUACCGAACCACACUGGACGAGAACACUGUAACUAUUGAGUCCCUGAAGAAGGUCCCAAACGGACCGAAACGUCGGACAAAAUAACAUAAAUAGUGUUUUAUUUUUGUCAAGACUGACAAGCCACUACG